rnacentral:lncRNA from 1 species
AAUGAAUUAAGACUUUGGAAGACUGUUGAAAGAGGAUGAUUGUGUUUUGAAAUGUGAGGACAUGAGAUUUGGAAGGCACCAGGGGUAGAAUAUUAUGGUUUGGCUGUGUCCUCACGCAAGUACCAUCUUGAAUUGUAGUUCCCAUAAUCCCCACAUGUUGUGGAAGUGACCUGGUGGGAGAUAAUUGAAUCAUGGGGGUGCUGUUAUUGUGGUAGUGAGUGAGUUUUCAUGAGCUCUAAUGGUUUAAUAAGGGGCUUUUCCCUCUUUGCUCAGCACUUCUCCUUCCUGCUGCCAUGUGAAGAAGGACGUGAAACAUGUCACUGCCAUGAUUGGCCAUGGAAGGAGUCUAUUCAAGUGAUGGUCCCUGAAGCUUAUGUUUUUUUAACUUUCUAGCAAUUCUACCACAAGUAAAAAACAGACUACUUCAUACAGCUCCAGAGCCUAGAGAAGUGCCUGGGUCAGAGCAGAGUCCCAGGAAGCAUUUGUGGAUGGAAUACAAGAACAAAUGAACAAAUGAAUUGCAGCCUGGCUGCCAACAGAAACGCUUCGGGAUUUGACCUGCUUCUUCCCCCUUCAGACAAUGUGGUUUGACUUUUCUUUUAUUAUGUUUGUUGAAAGCAAAAGUAAAUUCUAUUAAUCCAUUAUAAAAACAACAGGAGGUUUAUUAUUUCCAUGAGAAUCUCAUAGUUAUACAGAUCCAGGUAAGGCUUCAUCUAAGACAAGGAAUUGUCGGCCGGGCGCAG